GUUUAAAUGUCUGAUUUCGGAUUGAGUUUUUGGAGCUUGUUUGAUUGAUUUACUCCUAUGAUCAAUCCUGACUCCAAAAAAAUGAUGCAAUUCCUUCCCUUCCACUUUCUCUGUACCGUUUUUAAUGUUAGGAAAGAAGGUUUGUUUAUCAUUUUAUUUUUCCGGAGUAUUUAUUGGUCAUUGGGUGUUUUGACAUUGGAUUUUAUCUACAGAGGAGCACCAUGAUGUUUCUCCACCCACUGUUGCAGGAAUUUCAAAAUCUUGUGUCCCAAGUGUAUUGAUGCCAUGAAUAUCUGUAGCUGAAGGUUUAGAUUCCAGAAACAGGUUUAGAUUCCAGUUUUGGCAGGAGAAACGGAGGACAGUAAAAUGGAAGAGAAGGGUAAACAAAAUAUUAGAGCCAGCUCAAUCCCUAUGCCGUGUGCUUUCUUAUCAAGUCCUGAAAAUGAACGGUGAUUGGAAAUAAAAAACAGGAUCAAAGCAGAACGACCAUCAGCUCUGAAGAAUCAUAACUUGGUUAAGAACAGACAUACACAAACAAUGUGUUCCAUGCCAUAUUACUGAAAAUUCUACUGAAACCAAAAAGUCCCAAGUAUGAGAACUCUCCGAAGGAAAGGAAAGGAUCAGAGAUAACAUUUCCAAGCUAGGGAUUGGAAUUCUCAUCAGGAAUUGAAUGAAUUACACUAG